GAAUACAAAACACCACCAUCGGUGCGGUCGUCCUUGGCGUCUCGGUCCUUCACGGGGCCGGGGCGCGGGGGUGGCUUAGCCCGGUGGCACCGGUGAAUGACUCCCCUAGCAGCUUGUGAGAAAUCAUAAGUCUUUGGGUUCCGGGGGGAGUAUGGUCGCAAGGCUGAAACUUAAAGGAAUUGACGGAAGGGCACCACCAGGAGUGGAGCCUGCGGCUUAAUUUGACUCAAC
rnacentral:rRNA from 1 species